ensembl:lncRNA
GGAGAUCUUCCCGAGCCAGGGAUUGAACCCCGGUGUCCCACAUGGUAGGCAUUGUAGGCAGACACUUUACCAUCUGAGCCACCAGGGAAGAUCCCCCCUGUUAAAUUCCUGAUUGGUCCCUCAGUUCUUUGUUUACUGUAAACAAAACUUCAACCUCAGGCUAUCCAAACUUCACUUUCUAGUAAGAGCAUGUACUUUGACCACGAUGUGCUCUGGGAGGUGCAGUGAAGCUGCUGGUUUUCGAUCUUUUCUGCCCUGACUGAAUGCAUUACCUCAAUGAUAGAGCUGGUUUGGGGAUCGGGAGGCCUGGGAUGAAAGCAAAUCCAGGCAGCCGCACUGCCACAGACUCACACUUCUGACCCUGAGUUUAGUGAGUUAUCACAAGUAAAUGCUCUGGUUAUUGACUGCCUGGGUCAGUUUCCAGAACGCUGAAAUGGUUGUGGUUUAUAGUUGCUUUGGAGGAAGAGAAUUUGUCAGCCUCCUCACUGUCCUCAGCAUAACUGCUUGUCUGUUCUUUGAAGGUUCAUUAUCAGAAUGAAUGGACCCAGCAGUAAAUUUGAGACACUAAUAUGUUUACAUUGUUUAAAGGAUAGAUAUGCUUCUAAAAUGCACUUUUAUAAGCAUGGUAAAUUGUAGAACAGAGAUAAAAGAACUUUAAUAUGGUUAGACAUGGGCUCAAGACCAUCUGAGCUUCUUGCUAUUCCUUAUAUAACUUAUUUAACGUCUAGGAACCUGUUUCUCUGUUAGUGAAACAGGGAUUAUAGUACCUGCUUUAUAAUGUGGUUGUGAGGAUUAAUUGAGAUAAUUAAAAAUACUGAGGAUAGGGCUUAGUAUCUAGGUAAAGGCCAGUUUCCCCUGUACAGGGUCGGCAAGUGAUUAAGGUUGAAUUUUAUGGAAUAUAUAUAUUUCAUAAUAUAUAUUACAUAUAUGUAUUUCUUUUAAAGAAUGAGACUCUGGGACUUGUUUUUUAACAAUUGGAAAAUUAGACUCUGAGAAGAAAGAUUAAAGGUGUUGGAACUGAGUCACCAGAAGAACAGAAAGCAGGGAGAGACGUCAGUGAAAGGAUACUGAAUAAUUAAUGUAGAAAUGGAUAGAAAUGCUGAUGAGAUGGAUUGGUUGGGGGGGGGUCGAGCAGAGAACCUGCACAAAGAAAAGAGACCAAUAAGAGCUCUCUGCCAUUAAGUCUUUAGCUCACCUAGAAUAGAGGGAAGCUGGUAACAAGGAUUACAUUCUGUCUUUGUCUCCUUAGAACUGCCUUGCCCAGUGCUCAUGGCUGGUGCUCUGAUUUGACCACCCUAGGAAGUGGCUCUUGCCCUUCACCUUCCUUCUCAUUUCUUAGGCAUUUUCUCCCAGUCCAGAAUGAGUCUCUGAGUGUACACUGUCAAAAAGUUCUCACUCAUAUUGACCCUGCAUGAGCCCCAAAGAUGAAGAGUGAUGAAAGAAGGAUUCAUUGAUCAACUCUCAGGGUACCAAGGAAGUACUAAUACUUAGAUACAGGAAAGAUAGCUGGAGAACCACCUCACUUUAGUAAUGAGCACUGGGGCCCAGAGAGGGUCUGUUUCUUGCCCGAGCUCACAGAGCAGUUUCGUGGCAAAACCAGCAUGGAGGUAGAUCAUUUGCCUUAGGAUUGGCCUAAUUGCUUGUGCUUUCACAGAAUUUAUCAGCAGGUCUAAACCCUGAUGCUAGGCCUGCAGGAUAAUGGCUUGAAGGCUCAGUAAGAUUUUUCUUCUUCAACAAAAAGCACAUUCAUAGCAGGAUGCCUGUUUGUUCAGGAAAGUGGGCUAAUGAAUUUUAGAGGGAUUUUUAACAAAGAUUGGAACAAAAAGUAUUCAGAUAAUUAAAACUAAAUAGACUGUCUGGGUCCCUGGAUAUUCUAAUUUAGAAGAGAAUUAUAGCGUCUGUGACACACUGACUAGACAGUCAAUAAAUGUGACUGACCGAGGUUGCUUGGAUGCCAGCGCAAUAAAGGGAUUCAAAUGUGGAUUGAAUUGAGUGUGGAUUAGAACGGCAGGUCAGAGAUCAAGCGCUAACAUAUAACUACCCAUCUCCCCUCCCCCAGAUAAUAAAUAACAUUGAACUCAGCCAUCCUCCCACUUUCUGAGCAGUCUGUUCUAUUUCUUCAGCCUAAGAACUGGCACGUAUAGGCCAUGAGGUUAUAUCCCAAAGGCCUCUGUGCUUUACCACACAGUCAGUGGGCUCUGCUCUGCUCCUCCUCGAGUCUGGCUGUUCCAAAGGGGUGAGGGACCCAAAGGCCAAGUGGAUGUCUAUUUUGCUUCCCAGACUUAACUGUGUACUUGAAUCGCUUGGAGAUCUUAUUUAGAUCCUCCGAUUCAGAAGGUCUAGGGUGGCACCUGAGAUUCUGCUUUUCUAAUAAGCUCCCAGAUAAUGAGAAUACUAAUGGUUCCCUCAGCCACACUUUGGGUACCACAGUUCUAGACCUCACUUCAGUACCAAGGACCCAUGGAUUUCCUGUCCAAAGAGCUGGAGCCAUAUCCAAGACCAACCCAUAGGAAUCUUUGAGGACAGACUGCCUAGGUGUGCAUACCCAUGGGCCUGAGGGGUCGCUGGGGGUGUUGUGUCAUGGUGUGAUGGGGAGGAUGGGGUUGGAAGACAAAGCUUGGCGUUUCAAGCUGGGGUGCUGUAUAAAGGAGCGUAACACUCUACAUGCUGUAGGACUGAGAUGGGGUGGGAGGAAAAAGGAGCCUCCCCAUUCAUACUCUUGUUCCGAGUUAGGAAUACCUUGUGAGUUAGGAGUGCUUGUGGGUACCUCAGGAAAGAUUGAGUUAAAAUUAUUUUAUUGUGAUUCUGUUUGACUAGUAUAAUUUUUAUUAUUUGAUCUCUGCACCUAAACAGAUUCUGUUUUCUUUUUUUUCCCAUGCCACUGUUGCAGUCUGAGAGAACUCUUUAUUUCCCUUUCAUGGUGUACACUGGAUGCUUAAAAAGAACUGUGAGUCAGGAUGAAAACUCGAGACAGUAGCCAAUUGUUGAGGAGUAGCUGCAGCCUUUGGCCAUCGUGCCACGCGAGGUCUGAGCUUCCCCAACACAAUAUGGACGUCACAAGGGGGUGCUUAUGUUGGCAGCCCAGGCAGACCCCACGGCAGCAGAAGCAGCACGAGCUGACGGAAAAGAGCACUGGGCGAAGAGUCAGGAGGCUUGGCUCGAGUUCAGUCUGCUGUGAAUGACAUGACUUUGGGCAAGCUGAGCAUUUUCUCCAUUGACAGAAACAGUGCUGCCCUCUCUUCUCAGAGUUCUUAUUGAGAUAAAAAAUAAUAAGUCUGAGUGGUUUGGGAAAGUAAAAAGCGAUGAUAAACAUUUGUACCGUUUCUUUAUUCGUUCAGCAAGCAUGUACAUGCCAGGCGUGGGUUAUCCCUGUUAGGACACCUGGAUGGCUCCUGAGCUGGACCUUGUGGGUUCUCAGGGCAGUGGAGAUGAAGCAGCAGCACAUCCAUGCAAUGCUGUGUGGGUGGGUCUUAGAACUUCAGCAGCUAUGAACUGCAAUAAAGAAUCAGAGGUGGUCAUGGACACCUCUGCCAGGGAGACUGGUGAAUUUUUCCCAGACCUGGUGGGUUUUGAUAUAGCUCUUGGAAAAUGAGAAAUUUACCCAGCUGAAAGGGAGUGAAAGGGUAUUUUAGGCAGAAGGACCGGCAUUUUCAAGGCACAGCCGUGUGAGUGUACAUAGAGAAUCAUCAAGUUAAAAUUAACCCACGGAUAUUCACUGAGUACCUACCUUCCUCUAGGACUGCUAAGAGCUGGGGAAAGAAAAUGAAUAAAACGGUCUUAGUUCCUACCUACUGUUGGAUGUAUUUAUUCAUUGUGUUAGUUUUCUUUGGCUGCAAUAACAAAUUGCC